rnacentral:rRNA from 1 species
UUAAGCUAAGAAGAGCGUAGGGAGAAUGCCUUGGCAUUAGGAGCCGACGAAGGACGUGAUAAGCUGCGAUAAGCUGCGGGGAUCAGCAAGUAUGAAUUGAUCCGCAGAUUUCCGAAUGGAGCAAUCCGUAUGUGUAUGCACAUACAUCAUAUACUGAAUCAAAUAGGUAUAUGAGGGGAACCGCCUGAACUGAAACAUCUAAGUAGGGCGAGGAAGAGAAAUCAACCGAGAUUCUGUGAGUAGUGGCGAGCGAAAGCGGAAGAGGCUAAACCAUAGGUAGCAAUACUUAUGGGGUUUCGGACAGCAUUUAGUAUUGAUAAUUUCUAGUUGAAACGUGUGGGAAAACGUACCGAAGAGUGUGAGAGUCACGUAAGCGAAAGAGAAAGUCAGCGAGCUGUAUCCAAAGUACCGCGGGACACGUGAAACCCCGUGGGAAGAUGGGGGGACCAUCCUCCAAGCCUAAAUACUACCUAAUGACCGAUAGCGAAUAGUACUGUGAAGGAACGGUGAAAAGAACCCCGGGAGGGGAGUGAAAAAGAACCUGAAACCCUAUGCUUACAAGCACCGAGAGCACGUCAAAGUGUGAUCGGGUACCUUUUGUAGAAUGGUCCGGCGAGUUAUUGUAUGCGGCAAGGUUAAGUGCUUAAGGCACGGAGCCGAAGCGAGAGCAAGUCUGAAUAGGGCGAGUAAGUCGUAUGCAAUAGACCCGAAACCGAGUGACCUAUCCAUGUCCAGGCUGAAGUGGAGGUAAAACUCCAUGGAGGGCCGAACACACGUCCGUUGAAAAGGCCGGUGAUGAGGUGUGGAUAGCGGAGAAAUUCCAAUCGAACUCGGAUAUAGCUGGUUCUCUCCGAAAUAGCUUUAGGGCUAGCCUCGUGAAAGAUUACUGGAGGUAAAGCACUGAAUGGGCUAGGGGUCGAAAGAUUACUGAACCCUAUCAAACUAAGAAUGCCAGAUAAUUGAUUCACGGGAGUCAGACAAUGUGAGAUAAGUCUCAUUGUCAAAAGGGAAACAGCCCAGACCCACAGCUAAGGUCCCUAAACAUUGUUAAGUGGAAAAGGAUGUGGGGUUGCAUAAACAACCAGGAUGUUGGCUUAGAAGCAGCCACUCAUUAAAAGAGUGCGUAAUAGCUCACUGGUCGAGUGACCCUGCGCCGAAAAUUCAACGGGGCUAAACAAUGUACCGAAGCUUGGGAUUCUAAAGUAAUUUAGAGUGGUAGGAGAGCGUCGAAUAAGGGGUGAAGUCAGAGCGGAAGCGCUGGUGGACUUUAUUCGAGUGAGAAUGCCGGAAUGAGUAGCGAGAAUUAUGUGAGAAUCAUAAUGGCCGAAAAUCUAAGGUUUCCUGAGGAAGGUUCGUCCGCUCAGGGUAAGCCGGGGGCUAAGGCGAGGCGGAGACGCGUAGCCGAUGCACAUACGGUUGAAAUUCCGUAGCCACCGAAAGAUUUAAGUACAGGGACGCUUUAGAAGUGAUGUAGCCGGGCGAUGGUUGACCCGGUCGUAAGGGAUCGAAAAUGAGUAGAGAAGUCAUCAUGGAAAGAGACAAGAAAAGCUGUAUGAAUAUCUUAGGUGCCCGUACCGCAAACCGACACAGGUAGAUAGGAAGAAGAUUCUAAGGCCAACGGGAGAAGGGUUGUUAAGGAACUCGGCAAGUUGACCCCGUAACUUAGGGAUAAGGGGUGCUCAAGUGAUUGAGCCGCAGAGAAUAGGCCCAGGCGACUGUUUAGCAAAAACACAGGUCUCUGCUAAAUCGAAAGAUGACGUAUAGGGGCUGACACCUGCCCGGUGCCGGAAGGUUAAGAGGAGAUGUGAGAGCAUUGAAUUGAAGCCCCGGUAAACGGCGGCCGUAACUAUAACGGUCCUAAGGUAGCGAAAUUCCUUGUCAGGUAAGUUCUGACCCGCACGAA